AAAAUAUUCUUGAUGUCACCAAGCUGUGUAGAGAGCUAGAAAGAUCUGCCAGACAUUACCUUUAAUUUAAACCUUAGAAUUCAAAAAGAUUCUAACAAGAUGGCCCAGGAGAAUCAAAAGCAGAGAAGACCUGCAAACUUUACUACUGAGGAAACUGACGCUUUAAGAGAAAUAGUUGGAAAUAGGAGAGAUUUCGUCAAUGGGAUAUAUAUUGGUGACAAAAAAGAUUUAGAGAAAGCUUGGGCUCAAAUUACACUUAUACUGUUUAAUACCAUGAAGUUGGGAACGUAUACAUUACCAACACCUCAACGGCUUAAGGAUAAAUGGAUGAGAAUGCAGAUGAAAGAUAAAAAAGAUUUACAAAAUGAAGCUGCUACAGGUUUGUCAGUACACGCAAAAUUGGAUGUGUUAUAUUUAUGUCAUGGUGUGUCAUUUUGAGUAACAUGUGUUUUAGAGUUCACUCAUGCCAGAUGACAAUGAAUUAGCGAUGAUCAGUCUGCUUAAUGUUAAUUAUCCUCUAUAAGUCAAUGUAAUUGUUCUGAGUUGUCCUAGCUUUUGAGUUUUUAUCAUGAGUACUAUAUACCUGAAUUUUAUUAAUUAUCUUUUGAAUUAUAAAUACCAGCGAGUUUGAAAUUUAUUCAAGUCAGUCAGACACUUUUGGCCACCACCUUACAUACCUGUUAACCCUCCCGCAUUGCGCGGGAGACUCCCGCAAAACGGCCUAAAAAUCUAAGAUCUCCCGCAUUCAACCUAUCUCCCGCGCGGGAGACAAAUUUCUCCCGCAAUCGUUUUUGUCUUCCCCAUACCCCCCCCCCCCAACUUCUGAAUCUUUACAUGCAAAUUUCAACAACCAGUGGGUUUUUUCUCUGAUUUUGAGCUCAAAGAGCUGAUGUGUAGCUUGAAUAUAUCAAAAUCCAUCCAAGUACUGUCUACCGUGAUCAUAGUAUGACAUAUUAUAGUCCAUUUUACUUUUUACGAUUACUUCCGGUUUUGACUUAAAUCAGUUACGUAUUUAGUUAUGCAUAGGCCUUAUAAAAAAAUAGGUGAAAGCUGAAAACAUCUUGAUUUUACUCUGUAACACCAAAGAAAACAAUACACAGCCAGUGGUGUCACUUAACAGGUGCACAGGUAAAGCACCCAAGCCACGUGCAGUGAGUCGUGACUAAUUCUGUCUGGCCAGCACGGUCGGUAAAAAUGAAAGUGAGUUUGGAACACUGAGUGUUUAUACAAGCUACCGAUAAAAAAGCAUUUCACAAGAGUUUUUAAAGUUUAUAGUACCGGUACUAUGAAUUACAGAGAUGAUAUAGAUAUUACAACAGAGAUCAUGUUUUAAAUGAUACUGGAGAUAUAUACAUGUUGUUUUGUGAUAAAGGCAAAAAUAAUUUUAAUGAAUAUUAUUUACUGGUAUUUUCUUAACUGGGUUUUACUGCAAAUUCAAAAUAUGCAAAAUAAAUUUUCUGUGUUUACCCUAGAUGUCAGCAUGCAGUGAUGGUUCAAUACUGAACAAUAAGAAGACUUAAAAUAUAAAAAGUGGCACUAUUGACUUCUUGUAUUGUACCAUGCAAACAAAAUAAUAGUUUUCUGAACAUGUACAGCAACACAAGUUGUAAUUGCCACUGGUAGUCAUAGAAAUAAUAAAAUUUAAAAUGAUUACAAAUGCAUUAAUUACAAUGGUAAAAUAAGGUAUCUAACAGUAUUUUUAAUAUAUAUUUGCAUUUCAGGUGAGAAAACGUCGUUUACGCAAAAUCUUCCCCUUAGCCAAGUUGGUAAGGGGGAGAUUCUCCCACAUAGCAGCUUUGAAAGGUUAACAGGAGAUAAAUCUGCCAGUGCUGAAAGAGAUGACAUUGUGGAGGGAUAUUUUUAUUUGGAAAAUGACUCCUCCUCAAAAAUGGGAAUUCAAAAAGAUUCUAACAAGAUGGCCCAGGAGAAUCAAAAGCAGAGAAGACCUGCAAAGUUUACUACUGAGGAAACUGACGCUUUAAGAAUAAUAAUUGGAAAUAGGAGAGAUUUCGUCAAUGGGAAAUAUAUUGGUCACAAAAAAGAUUUAGAGAAAGCUUGGGCUCAAAUUACACUACUGUUUAAUGACAUGAAGUUGGGAAUGUAUACAUUAUCAACAUCUCAACGGCCUAUGGAUAAAUGUAUGAGAAUGCAGAUGAAAGAUAAAAAAGAUGUACAAAAUGAAGCUGCUACAGGAGGAGAUCUUACUUUUGAAUCUGCCAGUGCUGAAAUUGAUGACAAAAUGGGAAAGGAAUGAGCGUGGUUAAGGAAUCCCCUAGCCCUGGCACAAACACAGAUAUUUCAGGAACAUCUCAAGCUCCAUGUAAAAGAAUUCGAACUGACAGCUUAACUCCUGCUGAUGGUUGUAGUAGUCAGGAUUGGCAAGUUAAGGAGGAGCUAGAAAAAACGAUUGAGCAACUUUCUCGUGAGAAACAGGAGCUUGAAAUGAUUAAAAAAUUAAGGAGAGAAAUUCAAAAUUUGAAGGAUGAAAACAAAGAAUUUAGCAAGAAGUGAUUUUACUCAGACAGUAAAAAAAAAGAAGUAUAUCUAAAAUGUGACCAUGCAAUCAUUCUUUGUAAUGAUUUUCAUUCAAAUUUCUUAUGCCAUAAAUCUAGAAAACUAUUCAAGUUGAUACAAUUUUGCAUAAACUGAAAAGAAUAAAGCUCUUGAAGUUAAAUAUUAAG
rnacentral:misc_RNA from 1 species